rnacentral:rRNA from 1 species
CUACGGGAGGCAGCAGUGAGGAAUAUUGCACAAUGGGGGGAACCCUGAUGCAGCAACGCCGCGUGGAGGAUGACGCAUUUCGGUGUGUAAACUCCUUUUAUAUGUCAAGAAAAUGACGGUAGCAUAUGAAUAAGCACCGGCUAACUCCGUGCCAGCAGCCGCGGUAAUACGGAGGGUGCAAGCGUUACUCGGAAUCACUGGGCGUAAAGUACGCGUAGGCGGGUUGGAAAGUCAGGUGUGAAAUCCUACAGCUUAACUGUAGAACUGCACUUGAAACUUCUAAUCUAGAGUAUGGGAGGGGGAGAUGGAAUUAGUGGUGUAGGGGUAAUAUCCGUAGAUAUCACUAGGAAUACCUAAAGCGAAGGCGAUCUCCUGGAACAUUACUGACGCUAAGGCGUGAAAGCGUGGGGAGCAAACAGGAUUAGAUACCCGGGUAGUC